rnacentral:lncRNA from 1 species
UUCGCACACUGAGUUGCCCAAACGUUUGGUCCAAGCCCAAUCUUAAACAGGCUCUUACAAUGUGAGUCAUAUGCUUAAAGAAAAAAAUUACACCUUUUGUAAACACCAAAAGACACAUGUUAGAUUAGAUGAUCCUCAUCUUUCUAUUUGAUCUAAGAUCUAUGAACAACAAAAAGAAAAUUCUCGUGAUGAAGACAGCUGGGAGAUCACAACCAAUAAGUACAAAGAGACGUGCAAGAAAAAAAGAAAUCCUGUCUCAGUUGAUCUCUCGCAACAACAAUUCUUAUCAAAAAGAAGAAAAAAAAAGAAAAAAUCUCUUGCAGGAAGAAUACUCAAAGCACCAACUUCCCACCCAAUCCACAUCCUUCCACUCUACGCAACCCAUUUCUUAGAGUCAAAGGGG